GGGCGAGUAGUUUAAUGGAAAAACAACUGUCUAUCACACAGAGAUUCCGAGUUCGAUUCUCGGCUCGUCCA
rnacentral:tRNA from 1 species